UACGAAGGGGGCAAGCGUUGUUCGGAAUUACUGGGCGUAAAGGGCGCGCAGGCGGCCAGACAAGUCAGAUGUGAAAGCCCCGGGCUCAACCUGGGAAUAGCAUUUGGGACUGUUUGGCUAGAGAUCGGGAGAGGAGAGUGGAAUUCCCAGUGUAGAGGUGAAAUUCGUAGAUAUCUGGAGGAACACCGGUGGCGAAGGCGGCGUCCUGGACCAACACUGACACUGAGGAGCGAAAGCCAGGGGAGCAAACGGG
rnacentral:rRNA from 1 species